GACGAACCGUGCGAACGUUGUUCGGAUUCACUGGGCUUAAAGGGCGCGUAGGCGGGCGGUCAAGUCGGGGGUGAAAUCUUUCAGCUUAACUGGAAAAGUGCCUCCGAUACUGAUCGUCUUGAGGGAGGUAGGGGCAUGUGGAACUUCCGGUGGAGCGGUGAAAUGCGUAGAUAUCGGGAAGAACAUCAGUGGCGAAGGCGGCCUGCUGGGCUGUUGCUGACGCUGAGGCGCGACAGCGUGGGGAGCAAACAGG
rnacentral:rRNA from 1 species